GAAGGUAUCCGUUCUGUAUCUCGUCUUUGACUCUAGAGAGAGUGUCAUCACAACAAAGACAAAGUACCUGGAGAAUCUGAUGGAAGCGUAUAUGCAUAACCAAAUGAUGGGACUCAAUCAUGCAUCCAAGGAGCAAGUGAAAGGGCACAAGUUACCUCGUCAGAGAGACAGAAGUGACUGGAUUCAGCCCUCUUGCUCCCUGGUCCCUCCCUUAGCUCUCCCUUCUUUUCAUGUUGCACCUGUUGUAAAACCACCAUUGUCACGAAUACACCCUCCACCCAGAUCCAACAUCAUUACUCGACCACAGCUUACAGGGAUCAGUAGUUUCGCAGCGGGCGAUAAAAGGAUCUGCUCCAGA